UUUUAAAGUGAAUUUAAUUCAGCAUUGUCAACUACAUAACGCUUUUUGUCAACUACAUAACGAUUCACUGCGUUAUGUAGUUGACCGUUAUGUAGUUGACCUAUUUGUGGUUUUUGGAUGUUUUUCUUGACCCUAAUACUACCAGAUAAAUGGUUUUUAUUGAAUUAGAGUCAGUAUUAUAGACUUUGAAUGAUUUAUGUAAAAAAAAAAUAUUUAUGCCAAAAUUUAUCAAUGUUUUUGCCGUUACAAAGUUGACAUAGAAUAAAAUUACGGAGUAAUUUGUACUCACCAAAACUAAUCUAUAAUGAAAUGAAUCAAUGAUGUCAUCCUGUAACUUUAAGCACGUCAUCAGAGGAUGAAGAGUAAGUAGAGAACACUUCCUUAGUUACAAGGGAUAUAAUCAGUUGUUUAUUGGCAACAUUAUUUCAUUUGUGUUAUGUAGUUGACAUUUUUUUAAGUACGAAAUGAAAAGUAAAAAAAAAAAAUGCUAAUAAAAUCUAAUAAUUCCCUGUAUUUGUGUAUACAUACCUGCAGUGAUACCUAUAUAUUUAUAAUAACAAAAGAAAAAUAAUAAUUUCCGCUGGGUAUUAAAACCAGCAUUUAAAAAAGACUAGUUUUUCAAUUUCGUACAAGCAAUUUUGGGGUUUUUGGACCCUUUGAAACCCACUGGAAGCAAUUUCUGUAGCUAAAUUUCAUAUUGAAUUUGCUGGAACUUGUUACACACACCAAAAACUAAAUGGUGUAUCUAAAAAUUGGAUAAAAAUAUUUACACUUUUUUAGAAAUAUUGAUUGUACAAGAAAAUCCACAUUUUUUUGAAAAGGCCACA
rnacentral:lncRNA from 1 species